rnacentral:rRNA from 1 species
GACGAACGCUGGCGGCGUGCUUAACACAUGCAAGUCGAGCGGUAAGGCCCUUUCGGGGGUACACGAGCGGCGAACGGGUGAGUAACACGUGGGUGACCUGCCCUUAGCUCUGGGAUAAGCCUGGGAAACUGGGUCUAAUACCGGAUAUGACUCCAUGACGCAUGUUGUGGGGUGGAAAGCCUUGUGCGGCUGGGGAUGGGCCCGCGACCUAUCAGCUUGUUGGCGAGGUAACGGCCCACCAAGGCUU